CUAGGAAAUGUUUUUACGAUUAUUUUGUUUUUCUUUAAUUGUGAAUAGUUUGUGGUGUUCAGUUUGGCAUACAGCGAGGGUCAAAACCUGGUAUAGUGUAAGAAAGUCACCUUUCUUCGAACAGCCAUGCGUAAGGUUGCGAGGUUUCUGUGCACUAAAAGACACGUGUCCUCCUGGCACGGGGGUGAAUCACAAGGGUUUGUGCCCUGAACACCUGGAACAAGUCAUGGAGUGCUGUGUGCCUCAAAAAAGAAAGAGUAUGUGCUGUUUAAACAAAGGAAGAUGCCUUCCCAAAGUGUUUAAAUGCCCCCAACGCUCUCAAGUACAGUUAUAUUAU
rnacentral:lncRNA from 1 species